CUAGUCAAGCGCUCGCCAGCCGAAGGUGAGUGCGGCGCACAGCUCAGUAACACGUGGCUAACCUGCCCUCGGGACGGGGACACCCCCGGGAAACUGGGGUUAAUCCCCGAUAGGUGAAGAACUCUGGAAUGAGUCUCCGCCCAAAAGGCGCUUGCGCUAUGCUCGUAGGCGUCGCCCAAGGAUGGGGCCGCGUCCGAUCAGGUUGUUGGUGAGGUAACGGCUCACCAAGCCUUUUACCGGUGCGGGCCGUGGGAGCGGGAGCCCGGAGAUGGGCACUGAGACAAGGGCCCAGGCCCUACGGGGCGCAGCAGUCGCGAAAACUUUGCAAUACACGAAAGUGUGACAGGGCUAUCCCGAGUGCCAUCCGCUGAGGAAGGCUUUUACCCAGUGUAGAUAGCUGGGAGAAUAAGGAGAGGGCAAGACUGGUGUCAGCCGCCGCGGUAAUACCAGCUCUCCGAGUGGUGUGGAUGUUUAUUGGGCCUAAAGCAUCCGUAGCUGGCUGGGCAAGUCCCCUGUUAAAUCCACCGAUUCAAUCGUUGGAGUGCGGGGGAUACUGCUCGGCUAGGGGACGGGAGAGGCCGACGGUAUUUCCGGGGUAGGGGUGAAAUCCUAUAAUCCCGGGAAGACCACCAGUGGCGAAGGCUGUCGGCUAGAACGCGCCCGACGGUGAGGGAUGAAAGCUGGGGGAGCGAACCGGAUUAGAUACCCGGGUAGUCCCAGCUGUAAACGAUGCAGGCUAGGUGUUUGGGCGGCCACGAGCCGCUCUAGUGCCGCAGGGAAGUCGUUAAGCCUGCCGCCUGGGGAGUACGGCCGCAAGGCUGAAACUUAAAGGAAUUGGCGGG
rnacentral:rRNA from 1 species